rnacentral:rRNA from 1 species
CUACGGGAGGCUGCAGUGGGGAAUAUUGCACAAUGGGCGCAAGCCUGAUGCAGCCAUGCCGCGUGUAUGAAGAAGGCCUUCGGGUUGUAAAGUACUUUCAGCGGGGAGGAAGGGAGUAAAGUUAAUACCUUUGCUCAUUGACGUUACCCGCAGAAGAAGCACCGGCUAACUCCGUGCCAGCAGCCGCGGUAAUACGGAGGGUGCAAGCGUUAAUCGGAAUUACUGGGCGUAAAGCGCACGCAGGCGGGUUUGUUAAGUACAGAUGUGAAAUCCCCGGGCUCAACCCGGGAACUGCAUCGAUACGGGCCAGCUUGGGUCCCGUAGGAGGGGGGAAGAUUCCAGGUGGAGCGGGGAAAUGCGGAGAGGUCUGGGGGAAUAACGGUGGCGAAGGCGGCCCCCUGGACGAAGACUGACGCUCAGGUGCGAAAGCGUGGGGAGCAAACAGGAUUAGAUACCCGAGUAGUC